UACAGAGGUGGCAAGCGUUGUUCGGAAUUACUGGGCAUAAAGGGCGCGUAGGCGGCCAUCUAAGUCAGACGUGAAAUCCCCGCUUAACCUGGGAACUGCGUCUGAUACUGGACGGCUGGAGUUUGGGAGAGGAUGUAGAAUUCCAGGUGUAGCGGUGAAAUGCGUAGAUAUCUGGAGGAACACCGGUGGCGAAGGCGGGUCUCUGGGCAA
rnacentral:rRNA from 1 species